rnacentral:rRNA from 1 species
AACGCGAAGAACCUUACCUGGGCUUGACAUGCGUUGUAACCCUUGCGAAAGCAAGGCAGCGUAGCAAUACGCGCUUCGCACAGGUGCUGCAUGGCUGUCGUCAGCUCGUGUCGUGAGAUGUUGGGUUAAGUCCCGCAACGAGCGCAACCCUCGUGGCUUGUUGCUACUGGUUAAUUACCAAGCACUCAAGCAAGACUGCCCAGAUAAACUGGGAGGAAGGUGGGGAUGACGUCAAGUCCGUAUGGCCCUUACGCCCAGGGCUGCACACGUACUACAAUGUCCAAUACAAAGUGUUCCUAAUCCGCAAGGCCAAGGCAAUCACCAAAAUUGGACUCAGUUCAGAUUGCAGGCUGCAAUUCGCCUGCAUGAAGCUGGAAUCGCUAGUAACGGCACAUCAGCUACGGUGCCGUGAAUACGUUCCCGGGUCUGUACACACCG